GGACUUGCUUUGCCAGUGUGUAUACCAAAUUUGGAUCAGUAUACAGAUUAGCAUGACCUUUGUGUAAGGAUGAAAUGCAAAUUUGUGAAGUAUUUUUCUUUUGC
ensembl:snRNA U6 U6 spliceosomal RNA